GAGAUGGUUUGCCAUUGCCUGCCUCUGUGUCAUGUUCCUGAUAUUCCUUGGAGGUCUCCAAUCCAACGACUUGCCUGUUGGGUGUUUGACUGGCCAAGAUCCUCCUGCAGGCUUUUUUUUCCAGAAGACCCAGUGAAGAUUACAAGAGCAAAGGGCCAGUAUAUGUAUGAUGAAACUGGAAACGAGUACCUUGACUGUAUAAACAAUGUUGCUCAUGUUGGACACUGCCAUCCUGAGGUAGUCCGUGCAGCACAUCAACAAAACCAGGCGUUAAAUACAAACUCUCGGUAUCUACAUGACAACCUGGUAGAUUAUGCACAAAAGCUUUCUAAUACAUUGCCUGAAAAACUGUGUACCUUCUAUUUUUUGAAUUCAGGAUCAGAAGCUAAUGAUCUUGCCCUGAGACUGGCCCGGCAAUAUACAAAGCAUGAGGAUGUUAUUGUAAUGGAUCAUGCUUAUCAUGGACAUCUGACAUCCUUGAUUGACAUAAGUCCAUAUAAGUUCAGAAAUCUAGACGGACAAAAGGAAUGGGUCCAUGUGGUUCCUCUUCCCGAUACAUACCGAGGAUUGUUUAGAGAAGACCACAAGGAUCCAGGCUCAGCAUAUGCCAAUGAAGUAAAAAAAAUAAUUGAUCAAGGACACCAAAAAAGUAGAAAGUUUGCUGCAUUUUUUGCUGAAUCUUUACCAAGUGUUGCUGGACAAAUCAUUCCACCACCAGGUUAUUUCCAGAAGGCAGCAGAGCACAUACACAAGGCAGGAGGUGUGUUCAUUGCUGAUGAAAUUCAAGUCGGCUUUGGGAGAGUUGGCAAACAUUUCUGGGCAUUUCAGCUUCAGGGAGAGGAUUUUAUCCCUGAUAUCGUCACAAUGGGAAAACCUAUUGGCAAUGGACAUCCUGUCUCCUGUGUGGCAACAACUAAGGACAUUGCAGAGGCAUUUUCAGCAACAGGAGUGGAAUAUUUUAACACAUUUGGAGGCAAUCCUGUGUCUUGUGCAAUUGGUUUAGCAGUUUUGGAUGUCAUUGAAAAGGAACAGCUUCAAGCCCAUUCUCUUCAAGUGGGAAGCUUCCUCAUGGAACUACUACAUCAACAAAAAGAAAAACAUUGCCUAAUUGGUGAUGUCAGGGGUUCAGGAUUGUUCAUUGGAGUUGACCUGGUGCAAGACCAAACAAAAAGAACUCCUGCUACCAAAGAAGCUGAGUUCCUAACAACAAGGUUGAAGGAAGAAUUCAUUCUAUUGAGCACUGAUGGCCCAGGAAGGAAUGUGCUUAAAUUCAAGCCCCCGCUAUGUUUUAAUAAAAAAGAUGCACAGCUUGUUGUGGAUAAGCUUGAUAAACUAUUAACAGGUAAGAAAGAGGAAAGGUGUCUGCUUAGGUAUAAAGCGUUGCAACUCCAUGGAAUGAGAGAAGGUUGUCAGAUCUUCAAUAUAUAUAUAACUGAUAAACAUUUCACUUGUACUCAUUCAUUCCCAGUUCUGCUUGUUGAUGUUCAAGAGUAAGAAGGCUGGCAAAGUAAGCAGAUUAAUUUAAGGGACAGAAUUAAGAUAGGAUUCCCCUGCAUACAAGAGUGUGUAAGCUAAGGCCUGGUAAGUGUGGCGGACUUGAGGCUACCUUAAACCUACAGUAUUUCAUACAACCCCACCCCCCAAUUCAUUGGGGCUAGAAAAAAAUUAGGCAGUAUACAAAACCUAUACAUAUCAAGGAAAAGGACCACAGCUCACUAGCAGAGUAUGUACUUUGCAAGCAAAUGAUCCCACAUUAAAUCCCUGUCAUCUCUAGACGUUGCUGAUGGGCAAGACAUUUCUCAACCCAAGAGCCUGUCAGAGCAGACAGUGUGGAACUACAUGGAUCAGUGGCUGACUGAUAUAAUGUUCAAAAGGCUAGACUAAAAACAUGGUUACUAUGAUUUUAUUAUUAUAUGAUUUGAUACACAUGUACUCUCAUACAAGCUGACAUCUUCAUGCUCAAUGAGUUAUGCUAGUUGUGUGAGAAGAAUACAUAUGUGUUUGUGUUUUGCCAGCUGACUAAUGGUGACCCUAGGGUUUUCAAGGCAAUUCAGAUGUCUACCAUAAGCCAUUUGAACUAUUCCUACAGAAGAUACACUCAUGCCUGCAGCAUAUGGCUGUGCAGACUAUGAACAGACUGCUUUUGGGUUAAGCUCACUAGAAAGUAAGAAUGGCAUGCAUGUGUAAUUAUGAAGGGCAGGUUAAAGAGUUCAUAGUGUUAACAUUAACUAUUCUUAGAGACUAGUCUAUUUACAGUAACUUGUUUUGUAAGAAUAAGAGUUUCGUGGCUUAUACACUGAGGAUGUUGAGAUACUGAUUAUAACUGUAAUAUUGACUAUAUUAUAUUGACUGUUCUGCAGAAUUAGAGAUGGGAAAUACCUAGAGCGAUUCAGUUCCUUCAAAUGAUAAAAUGCUGAAAUCUACAAUUUUGAUGAUUAUAAUCAAAGAUAGUAAACUUCCACCUUUGCUUAAUUUAAUUAUUAAAUGGGUAUCACUGUUAAAAUGGCAGUGAUGCAGGUUUGAAGUGCUUCAUCCAUUAUCUUGCUAUCUCAGUUACUUAGCAUAUCAAGAAAAGCUACUAGUUGUUAUGCGGUCAAAUCUAUAAUUAUUACAUCAACAAUGUUUAAUCUUAUGUGCAUGUUCUCUUCAAUUAAUACAAUUCAAUAACGCUAGCAGCUAUUUAAAAACACAUGAACAAGUCAGCAUUUUGAAUUGCGUCAGAAACUCAAAUAUUUAGAGGAACAACAAACUUCUUUCAAUGUUUUAAAGAAGCUAGCAUAUUUUGUUUUCCUGCAAAAAAUGAAGUUUUCACUAAUAGCAACUGGAAGUUUACGUGGAAAGAAUAUUCACCUUUUAUUAUUCAUUCAGGAACAGGGAGAUACCACUGUCUACAUUUGAACACAACCAGAUUUGGCUGUAUCAGUUUUCCAGAAUUCUGACAGAGGCACACUACUUUUCACAGACCAUUUCGGUUUUAUGUAUUUAGUUUUAUGGUAUGUAGAUGCUGAAGAGACACUUCUGCUGCAUCAGGAGUAACUGGUAGCAUCAUAACCCUCCUCUGGCAUCAGAAUGCAUAUGGGCAGACAGCUGACAAAUCUCUUUUAUCAGGACAUAUACAGUUUAGUAAUGAGCAGGGCUAUAUGUACAUUUUUCCAUAAUCUGUUCUCAAGACAAUCUGAAUUAUGACAUUUUUAACAAGAGAAAUAUGACGUUAAAAGUAACUACUUAAGAGUCAGAUUGUAGAGCUUGAAUAUCUACCUCACAGUAACAACUUUAUACAAUACUAUCUCUCUUUCAACGUAUUAGUUUAUGGGCCAAUGCAGGCCAAGAUGUGACCAGUCACAUCACCAUACACAUCUCUCCACCACCUGCUAUGUUAACAAUGGUUCACGUCAUGUUGGCACCUAUUGUAAGCAUAAUCAACACUAACCAGGACUCAAAAGUAGAUUCACAAUUUAGCAGUAAACUACUGUAAGUCUAGGAAAGGCCGGAUACUGUCUAUAUAGGCAGGGGAAAAUUUCUAUUUGAGGGAAAUGACAAAUUCUCUCAGUCUGCUCUGCACACCUUUUAGGUAUGAUAAACAGCAUACUGUUAAGUUUGCAGCAGCUCUCUACAUUAGGUGCAAGUUUUAGAUUCUUAAAUUAGUGUGCAUUUUAACUACAGUAGUGUUGAGGCUCAACACAGAAUAAUGUGCUAUAUUAAAAUGGCAUUUCUCUAUGUCAGGAAGAACAGUGGAGUCCAACUAGUUCACACUGAAAAGCCAGUUAAUGCUAAUACCCAUGCUGUUUCUAAUUAAAAAUAACAGAAACAUUAUCAGCAUGAGAAUUGUUCAUAAAAAAAACCUCAAAACACACAGAUACUGAAAAAUCAACUUUUCAGACAACUGACAUUUUUAAGUAUUUCAAGCAUUAAGUCCUUGACUAUAGAUAAUACAUUUUCAGUGAACACAUACAAGAAAUCCCUUGGUCAGCGAAUUAUCGCCUUAAAUCUGAGAAUCAUUUCAGACAGAAUUCAUGCACUACAUAAAUACUCCAAGACUUCUUUGUGUGAAUAUUGCUGAACAGGUUUCCAAAUCAGAUAUAAAAAGUAGACUCUAAUAUGCAGUUCUCAUGUCUGACAUUGCCCUGAGUGUGUAAAAUACAGCCUUGAACCCUAUACUAAAUGUCCAAAUGUACAAGAAAUCUCCCUACAUUCUUCCAGUCAGUCAGUCAGUCACAACUGAUGGCAUAGAAGUUCAUGCAUUUUCUUGAAAGCCUGAACAGUUUUAACCACCCACCACAGUUCUCCACUUACAUUCUUUUCUUAGCUUAAUAUAAGACUACCCUUUUGCGCCUUUAACUAUUUUAAUCAACUUUUUCUCGUCACUCAUCAAUUUUAGCGUU